UACGUAGGGGGCAAGCGUUGUCCGGAAUCAUUGGGCGUAAAGAGCGUGUAGGCGGCCAGAUAAGUCCGCUGUGAAAUCUCGAGGCUCAACUUCGAGCUGUCGGUGGAAACUGUCUGGCUAGAGUCCGGAAGAGGAGAAUGGAAUUCCUGGUGUAGCGGUGAAAUGCGCAGAUAUCAGGAGGAACACCGGUGGCGAAGGCGGUGGUCUGGGCCGGAACUGACGCUGAGGAGCGAAAGCGUGGGGAGCGAACAGG
rnacentral:rRNA from 1 species